AACAGGCACACUCACGAUGCCAGUUUUUAUCAGAAAUGUGUCUGUGGCACGGUACACAAAUCUCUUCUCCACAGCAGCUGGUAAUUAUAAUGCUCUGGAUUAUUAUAUUAUGAAUUGUUCUCUCUUUUACCCAUUCAAAAGCUAAUACAGCAAGGAUUCUUUGGUCCAAAUUCUCUAUUAAUCAAACAGCUGCAUCCAGAGAUCCAUCCUUGUGUCUCAAAGAUAUUCCUAAAAAAUCACUAAAACACUUUCCCAAAGUUAACUGAUGAAGCACACGAUGUAAACAAGCUGAGCAUAUCAAUUGUCUUUCUCUUUCAUUUACUCUGGUUGCUCUCCACCAUGAAUCAAGGCAAUUAUUACAAACAACAUGAAUCCAUGGGCGACACUCUAAACCGUGCUUAGUACAACUCCAUAGUGUUAUUUGUUCUUGUACCUUUUUGGUAAUAGAUGUUACUAGUUUCUUCCUAUGGAGUUGUAAUUCACUGACAAAAUCUAUUAAUGUUAUUCUCUGAGGGAGUGUUAAAAUAUUUUCAAUCCGUCUCGGUUGUUCCCACAGAUCCAAAAAGCGUCGGAUUCUUUCCCACCUGCGUUGUUCUGCGUCCGGAUUUAAUGGAGUUCCUGUCAGCAGCCAAUCCAGAAUGCCUGUUUUCUCUAAUGGAUUAAAGUUAGUUGCAAUCAUAAAGCACAAACUCUUUACUGAUUAAUUAUCAGGAGAAAUCUUAUUGUAUCCACAUCACACUUGUAUUACUCUCUGUUGCUCUUGCAGUGUCCUUAAAGCCACCAUUCAUUCUGAGCAGUAAGCUAAAUAAACAAAUGCUCUUUGUGCUUGAUCUUCUAUUCUAAAUUGCUGCAGGGUCCAGCUGUCCUAUACCGAUGUCGUUGUCUUAUCCUUUUAAUUCUUAUCGCUUCACACCGCUCACGUUUUGCUAUACAGGAAGGGGCACACAAAUGACCCUGUUUGCUACAACCCUGUUGAAAUAAAGAAACCACUUUCUGUGGGAUGACAGUU